rnacentral:rRNA from 1 species
AGUGAACGCUGGCGGUAGGCCUAACACAUGCAAGUCGAACGGCAGCACAGUAAGAGCUUGCUCUUACGGGUGGCGAGUGGCGGACGGGUGAGGAAUACAUCGGAAUCUACUUUUUCGUGGGGGAUAACGUAGGGAAACUUACGCUAAUACCGCAUACGACCUACGGGUGAAAGCAGGGGAUCUUCGGACCUUGCGCGACUGAAUGAGCCGAUGUCGGAUUAGCUAGUUGGCGGGGUAAAGGCCCACCAAGGCGACGAUCCGUAGCUGGUCUGAGAGGAUGAUCAGCCACACUGGAACUGAGACACGGUCCAGACUCCUACGGGAGGCAGCAGUGGGGAAUAUUGGGCAAUGGGCGCAAGCCUGAUCCAGCCAUACCGCGUGGGUGAAGAAGGCCUUCGGGUUGUAAAGCCCUUUUGUUGGGAAAGAAAAGCAGCAGGUUAAUACCCCGCUGUUCUGACGGUACCCAAAGAAUAAGCACCGGCUAACUUCGUG